rnacentral:rRNA from 1 species
UACGUAGGCAGCAAGCGUUGUUCGGAGUUACUGGGCGUAAAGGGUGCGUAGGCGGCGCCGUAAGUCAGGUGUGAAAUUUCGGAGCUUAACUCCGAAACUGCAUUUGAUACUGCGGUGCUUGAGGACUGGAGAGGAGACUGGAAUUUACGGUGUAGCAGUGAAAUGCGUAGAGAUCGUAAGGAAGACCAGUGGCGAAGGCGGGUCUCUGGACAGUUCCUGACGCUGAGGCACGAAGGCCAGGGGAGCAAACGGG